UACGUAGGGUGCGAGCGUUGUCCGGAGUUACUGGGCGUAAAGGGCACGCAGGCGGUGCGGCGCGUUUCGCGUGACAGCGGAGGGCUUAACUCUCCGAGGAUGCGAAAGACGGCGGCACUUGAGGGCCAGAGAGGGACACGGAAUUCCGGGUGGAGUGGUGAAAUGCGUAGAGAUCCGGAGGAACACCGAAGGCGAAGGCAGUGUCCUGGCUGGUGACUGACGCUGAGGUGCGAAAGCUAGGGGAGCGAACGGG
rnacentral:rRNA from 1 species